CAAAGCACCCCAGUGACCUAGAUUCAGCUCUAGAUUACUGUGUGUUUUGGCCUCUGCCUCCCAUCACUGCACCAGGAGUCUGAUUUUGUUGCACAAGCUAACUUGCUUACUGCUCUGACCCAUUUUACCAUAGCAACCUGGUUUGCUGUACCAGAGGCUAGAAAAAGCGCACAGGCGACUUUUUCAGGAUUCCAAGAUUAAAUUCACUCUCUGCUCCUUUUUUUUUUCCCUUCACUGCCCUCCUUCCCCCCCAAGAAUGUGCUUAGCAGACAUGACGAAGAAGAACUAAUGCUUUCCAACAGCACUGGAAGCCAAGAAAAGAUUUAGGCGAGGCUCUAAUGUUCCUAAUCAUGGGGAUUAUUAGACUGUUUGCAAGAUGAAGAACCAUCAGAGGUGCAAUUUGCCAAAAGUGGGGUUUAAAGAAAGAAAUGUUACCAGCUGAACAAGGGAUAUUCCAGCCCCUAUGACCUCAUGGUCCAUAUAUCAAGUAGAGGGAAGAAGGAAGAAAGGAAUAUUUGGAGUGAUGGUAUUUGUCAUCCCAAGCCAUUGUCACAUCUGAUGGGGCCCUGAUUUCCUGGAGGUGGCUGAAAACCUGCUCAUGGGAAGUGAAUUAAUUCCUUGGUUUGCUUUG